UGGUGACAGUGAUGAGAAAUUUGAUAAGUAAGCAUAAAUUUUUAUUACGAAAUCAAGGCAGUAAUCUGUUACCA